CUGGGAGAGACCAGAGAUCUGCUGUCUCUACAGCAUCAUUCCAGGCACAGAACGCCAGAAAAUGGAAUGGUGCUGUUGAAUCAACGGAUCU
rfam:Dengue virus type 1 recombinant clone rDEN1mutF, complete genome.